AUGCAGAUCGUGCAGGAGGUGGAGGCCACGGGGGGCAACGUCGGCGCCUCCGCCUCCAGGGAGCAGAUGGUCUACAGCUACGACACACUAAAGGCAUACAUUCCGCAGGCCGUCGAGGUGCUCCUCGACUCCGUCCGCAACCCGCUCUUCAUCCAGGACGAAGUCGACCGGCAGCUGGCCCUUACUCGAGAGGAGGUCCAGGAGGUGCAGAAGAACCCGGAGAAGUUUCUUCAGGAAGUACUUAACCUUGUUGGAUACGAGGGGGCGAUCGCGAACCCGCUGAUAGCUCCUGAGGAGGCUCUUGAGAUCAUCAAUGCCGAUAUUAUUCGGAAGUUCUACCAUGAAAACUUCACUGCUGAUCGUGUGGUUCUAGCAGCGUCAGGUGUUGAUCAUCAACAAUUGUUAGAUGUUGCAGAACCUUUGUUGUCUGAUUGGCACAAGGGGUCCCCUGUGGAAACACCAAAGUCUACGUAUACAGGUGGUGAUUUCAGACACAAAGCAGAAUCAGAUAUGACACAUGUUGCGUUGGCUUUUGAAGUGCCAGGCGGCUGGCUUAAAGAGAGAGAUGCUACAAUUAUGACCGUCAUACAGACCUUAAUGGGUGGCGGCGGCUCAUUCUCCUCUGGUGGUCCUGGAAAAGGGAUGCAUUCACGGCUUUACCUGAGAGUCCUAACUCGAUAUCAUGACGUCCAAUCAUUUUCAGCAUUCAGUAAUGUAUAUGAUAGCACUGGCCUCUUUGGUAUCUAUUUGACAACGCCACCAGAUUUUGUUGCAAAGGCUGUUGAUAUCGCUGUGCAGGAAUUGAUUGCUAUUGCAACGCCUGGACAAGUAACGGAGGUUGAGCUGACACGUGCGAAAAACUCGACGAUUUCAUCCGUGUUAAUGAAUCUUGAGUCAAGGGUGAUUGUUGCAGAAGAUAUAGGGAGGCAGCUUUUGACUUAUGGUAGCAGGAAGCCUAUCGAUCAUUUUCUUCAGUGCAUGGAGGAACUGACCCUAGAUGACAUUACAGCGUUUGCUAAGAUGUUGUUAUCUUCCCAACCUACAAUGGCUAGCUAUGGAGAUGUCGAUAAAGUUCCGCCGUAUGAGUUUGUUAGCAAGCGGUUCCAACGGUUCCGAUAG
rnacentral:rRNA from 1 species